rnacentral:rRNA from 1 species
UACGUAGGGUGCAAGCGUUAAUCGGAAUUACUGGGCGUAAAGCGUGCGCAGGCGGUUUUGUAAGUCUGUCGUGAAAUCCCCCGGGCUCAACCUGGGAAUUGCGAUGGAGACUGCAAGGCUAGAAUCUGGCAGAGGGGGGUAGAAUUCCACGUGUAGCAGUGAAAUGCGUAGAGAUGUGGAGGAACACCGAUGGCGAAGGCAGCCCCCUGGGUCAAGAUUGACGCUCAUGCACGAAAAGCGUGGGGGAGCAAAACAGG